rnacentral:rRNA from 1 species
CCUACGGGUGGCUGCAGUGGGGAAUAUUGGACAAUGGGCGAAAGCCUGAUCCAGCAACGCCGCGUGAGGGAUGACGGCCUUCGGGUUGUAAACCUCUUUCAGCGCAGACGAAGCGAAAGUGACGGUAUGCGCAGAAGAAGCACCGGCCAACUACGUGCCAGCAGCCGCGGUAAUACGUAGGGUGCGAGCGUUGUCCGGAAUUAUUGGGCGUAAAGGGCUCGUAGGCGGUUUGUUGCGUCGGGAGUGAAAACUCAGGGCUUAACCCUGAGCCUGCU